rnacentral:lncRNA from 1 species
GAGGUAGCCCGGGCUCGGCUUAGGAAGGCAGCGGGACUCGAGGCCUUGGGGUCCGAGUCCGAACUCGCUCCUCUAGCGCCGGGCGGGGAGCGAGUGGGAGAGCGGCCGCGAAGCUCCAGUGUUGAAAACGCACCCCUCCCAGCUUUUUGCAAGGCCUACUUGGGGGCGGAGAGACAAGCAAGCUGUCAUGUUAUAAGCAGCCCUUUGAGGGGUCCAUGUGAUGUCAAGGAAUGAAGUCUCUAGCCAACAUUUAAUGAGGAACUGAGGCCCACCAACAACCUUGAGUGAGCUUGGAAGUAGCUCCUUCAGCAUCAGUUGGGUGUCGAGAUGACUACUGACAGCUUGACUGCAACUUCAUGAGAGUCUUCUGGACCAGAACCACUCAGUUAAGUGGCUCCCAGAUUCCUGAUCCUCAGAAACUCUGAGAAAUAAUGAAUGUUGGUUGUUUUAAAAUGUUUCAGUUAUCUACGGCCAACUGGGUAAACCAAAUAGAUGCUCUUUACAAAUAUUUUUUAACUUCUUAAAAUAUCUCAUUGAGGAUUCCGUUCCAAGAUGGCCAAAUAGGAACAGCUCUGGUCUGCAGCUCCCAGUGUGAUCGACGCAGAAGACGGAUGAUUUCUGCAUUUCCAACUGAGGUACCAGUUGAAUGAAGAGAAGCACACCUCCUCCCCAGAACAGUACUGCAGCUAUGAUAUAACGCCUGGGCAGGGUUCGCAAUAGCAGCCAGGCUGUAAUGUAAGCUGGAAUUUCAAUCAAGGCAGAGAGGAAACAGUUCAGAUGGAGUCUUGCUCUGCUGCCCAGGCUGGAGUACAGUAGUGCGAUCAAGGCUCACUGGAACCUCCACCUCCUGGGUUCAAGUGAUUCUCCUGCCUCAGCCUCCCAAGUAGCUGGGAUUACAGCUGCCCGGACACGAAGGAGCCGAGGAGCACGCCUACGAAGAACAGGGAGGUGGUGAGGGGCACCUUCCAGUUGUCCUCACACACCAGAUUCCACUGCCAAGGAAGACAGCAUGAAGCGUGAGCCCAACCCUGAGGCAGACCUCAACCCCAGCCCAGCUCUGAGGGAAUAUUAGCACGGCUGGCGGGCAGACUCUCCUCCCCUGGGCCAGGAUAUUGCCUUUGUACAAAGGGCAUAGGCCUUGCAGCCCUGGGUUUGACUGGCCUGUGCCGGGACUGGGGAGAGUAACCUGGGGCAGGUCACUGCCCUCCCUGAAACUCAGGAUCCUCUUUGGAAAGGGAGGGUGAUGCUCCUACUCCGCUCGCAUUACAUAGCAAGAAGCCAGCCAAGGCCAUGGCUGUGACUGGUGACCCCUCAGCUGUGAGGCAGUCCAAAGUAAAGGUGGCACUGCAUCUUCAGAAGCCAGCCUAGUGCGGAGGGGAGGUGUUUGAAAAGCCCAAAGGGCAGGGCAGAGGGCAUGGCCACUUGGUCCAGGCGUAAAAUUUCUUUUCCCUUGUUGAAAAGUGCAAGUGGUUCCAGGAGCUCUGUGACUUUAUUUUCUGAGCAGGCCCCUCUGAGAAAUCAUGUGGUCCCUGGUCCACUCACGCCUAGGCCAAGCUUGUGGCCUGAUUCGGGGCCCCAUCGUUCUGGGGCCUACUUACUCCUCUCCAGGGCUCCCUAGCUCCCCUCCUACAUCCCUACACCCUCCUUCCCAUCCAGUCUUUCCAGAAGUGUGGUCCCUCCCAUUCCCUAGGGUCUGUGGGAUGCUGCUGCCCUAACAAGUCCCUGCCAGUGCAUCUACAAAAUGAGUUUCAGCCAGAGUUUCAGUUUGACUUAAGUCAAUUAAGCAACAUCUCAAGGGAGGUGACAAAAAUUUCAAAGUGUGUUUAGUGACCUUUCAUUUAUUAAAAACAAAUAAAUAAACAAACAGAUGCCAAUG